GGACGGGUGAGUAACGCGUGAGUAACCUGCCUUUCAGAGGGGGAUAACGUCCUGAAAAGGACGCUAAUACCGCAUGAUAUAUUUGUGCCGCAUGGUAUGGAUAUCAAAGGAGCAAUCCGCUGGAAGAUGGACUCGCGUCCGAUUAGCUAGUUGGAGGGGUAACGGCCCACCAAGGCGACGAUCGGUAGCCGGACUGAGAGGUUGAACGGCCACAUUGGGACUGAGACACGGCCCAGACUCCUACGGGAGGCAGCAGUGGGGGAUAUUGCGCAAUGGGGGAAACCCUGACGCAGCAACGCCGCGUGAAGGAAGAAGGUUUUCGGAUUGUAAACUUCUUUUCUAAGGGACGAAGAAGUGACGGUACCUUAGGAAUAAGCUCCGGCUAACUACGUGCCAGCAGCCGCGGUAAUACGUAGGGAGCAAGCGUUGUCCGGAUUUACUGGGUGUAAAGGGUGCGUAGGCGGCAAUGCAAGUCAGAUGUGAAAUGCACGGGCUCAACCCGUGAGCUGCAUUUGAAACUGUGUUGCUUGAGUGAGGUAGAGGCAGGCGGAAUUCCCGGUGUAGCGGUGAAAUGCGUAGAGAUCGGGAGGAACACCAGUGGCGAAGG
rnacentral:rRNA from 1 species